CAGUAGCCGCGGGAAAACGAAGGGGGCUAGCGUUGCUCGGAAUGACUGGGCGUAAAGGGCGCGUAGGCGGAUGGCACAGUCAGAUGUGAAAUUCCCGGGCUUAACCUGGGGGCUGCAUUUGAUACGUGUUGUCUAGAGUGAGGAAGAGGGUCGUGGAAUUCCCAGUGUAGAGGUGAAAUUCGUAGAUAUUGGGAAGAACACCGGUGGCGAAGGCGGCGACCUGGUCCUUGACUGACGCUGAGGCGCGAAAGCGUGGGGAGCAAACAGGAUUAGAUACCCGAGUAGUCCCUGUCUCUUAUAC
rnacentral:rRNA from 1 species